rnacentral:rRNA from 1 species
AUACAGAGGGUGCGAGCGUUGUUCGGAAUCACUGGGCGUAAAGCGCGCGCAGGCGGGACUUGCAAGUCGGGAGUGAAAGGCCGGGGCUCAACCCCGGGUCUGCCGUGCGAACUGCCGGACUUGAGCACUGUAGAGGCAGGUGGAAUUCCGAGUGUAGCGGUGGAAUGCGUAGAGAUUCGGAGGAACACCGGUGGCGAAGGCGGCCUGCUGGGCAGUGUCUGACGCUGAGGCGCGACAGCGUGGGGAGCAAACAGG